AGUUGGGAAAGUUUUUCGGUGUAGGAUGAGGCUAUAUCGUAUCAGCUAGUUGGUGAGGUAAUGGCUCACCAAGGCUAUGACGCGUAACUGGUCUGAGAGGAUGAUCAGUCACACUGGAACUGAGACACGGUCCAGACUCCUACGGGAGGCAGCAGUAGGGAAUAUUGCUCAAUGGGGGAAACCCUGAAGCAGCAACGCCGCGUGGAGGAUGACACUUUUCGGAGCGUAAACUCCUUUUGUUAGGGAAGAACUAUGACGGUACCUAACGAAUAAGCACCGGCUAACUCCGUGCCAGCAGCCGCGGUAAUACGGGGGGUGCAAGCGUUACUCGGAAUCACUGGGCGUAAAGGACGCGUAGGCGGAUUAUCAAGUCUCUUGUGAAAUCCUAUGGCUUAACCAUAGAACUGCUUGGGAAACUGAUAAUCUAGAGUGAGGGAGAGGCAGAUGGAAUUGGUGGUGUAGGGGUAAAAUCCGUAGAGAUCACCAGGAAUACCCAUUGCGAAGGCGAUCUGCUGGAACUCAACUGACGCUAAGGCGUGAAAGCGUGGGGAGCAAACAGGAUUAGAUACCCUGGUAGUCCACGCCCUAAACGAUGUAUACUAGUUGUUGCUUUGCUAGUCAAGGCAGUAAUGCACCUAACGGAUUAAGUAUACCGCCUGGGGAGUACGGUCGCAAGAUUAAAACUCAAAGGAAUAGACGGGGACCCGCACAAGCGGUGGAGCAUGUGGUUUAAUUCGAAGAUACGCGAAGAACCUUACCCGGACUUGAUAUCCAACAAAUUUUGUAGAGAUACGAAAGUGCUAGC
rnacentral:rRNA from 1 species